rnacentral:rRNA from 1 species
GUUAUAGGGUCAAGCGAACAAGUGCAUGUGGUGGAUGCCUUGGCGAUCACAGGCGAUGAAGGACGCGGUAGCCUGCGAAAAGCUACGGGGAGCUGGCAAACAAGCUUUGAUCCGUAGAUGUCCGAAUGGGGAAACCCACUCCUUUUGGAGUAUCCAUGGCUGAAUACAUAGGCCAUGUGAAGCGAACGCGGUGAACUGAAA